UACAGAGGUCUCAAGCGUUGUUCGGAUUCAUUGGGCGUAAAGGGUGCGUAGGCGGCGCGGUAAGUCGGGUGUGAAAUCUUGGAGCUUAACUCCAAAACUGCAUUCGAUACUGCCGUGCUUGAGGACUGGAGAGGAGACUGGAAUUUACGGUGUAGCGGUGAAAUGCGUAGAUAUCGUAAGGAAGACCAGUGGCGAAGGCGGGUCUCUGGACAGUUCCUGACGCUGAGGCACGAAGGCCAGGGGGAGCAAACGGG
rnacentral:rRNA from 1 species